UACCUGGUUGAUCCUGCCAGUGAUCAUAUGCUUGUCUCAAAGCUUAAGCCAUGCAAGUCUAAGUUCAGGCUUGUUCCUUUCGGGGAGCGAGCCGAAACUGCGAACGGCUCAUUAGUCAGAUAAGGUUCCUUGGCGAAAAGCGGGUCGGUUUAAUGGAUAACUGUGGUAAUUCUAGAGCUAAUACAUGCAACGCACCGUGGUCCCCCUCUUUUUCUCCAAGCUAAAGGUUUUUGAAGAAGGGGAAACGGCAUUUAUUCUCUGGACUAGAUCGCCCUAGCCUGCGAAGCUACCGUCAAAAGUAGCGACGGGGCGAAGCGACAAGUGUUGAAAUCCGAAUAACUGUGCCGAUCGCGGGGUCUUUCCGGGCCCCCGACGACUUUGCCAUGAAGUGUCUGUCCCAUCAAUUGGCGAUGGUCGGCGACCUGCCUACCACGGUGUUGACGGGUAACGGGGAAUCAGGGUUCGAUUCCGGAGAGGGAGCCUGCGAAACGGCUACCACCUCCAAGGAGGGCAGCAGGCGCGCAACUUACCCAAUCCCGACACGGGGAGGUAGUGACGAAAAAUAACGUGGCGGGGCCCUUUCGUGGUCGCCGCGGGCGGAAUGAGCGCAAUUUAAAAGAGUGUGCGAGGAGCUAUUGGAGGGCAAGCCUGGUGCCAGCAGCCGCGGUAAUUCCAGCUCCAAUAGCCUAUAUCGGAGUUGCUGCGGUUAAAAAGCUCGUCGUUGGAUCUCGGAGGCGGCACGGUCGGGCGCGAUACGCUGCGGGUCCGACCGGCGAUUUCUCGGCCGUCCCUAACCGGCGCGCGGGGCGAGGUGGACCUCGCGGUCCUGCCUCGUUUUUCUCCUUCGCGGGAGAGAACCCGCCGCAUUUUUUGUCUACCUUGAAAAAAUUAGAGUGCUAAAGGCAGGCUAAAACCCCGAGCCUGAAUAUUUCGUGCAUGGAAUAAGCGGGGAUGCUCUUUUUCCGGAGGGUGGUCCGGCCGACUUGGCGACGUCGCUUUCGCUGUCGGCUUUGCCGGAGAGCUAGGAUUCGAGAGGAACGGUGGGGGGCGAGCGUACCGGGCGGGGAGAGGUGAAAUUUUGUGAUCCGCUCGGGACGACUCGAAGCGAAAGCGCUGGCCCCGGACGUCUUCCUUAAUCCAGAACGAAGGUGGGUGGAGCAAAGACGAUCAGAUACCGUCGUAGUACCGACGGUAAACGCUGCCGACCGGGCCGCGGACGAGGCUCGAGAACAGCGGUUAUGGACCCGUCCGUGGCGGCUUCGGGCAACCUGAGAGUUUACGGGUUCCGGGGGUAGUAUGGUCGCAAGGCUGAAACUUGAAGGAAUUGACGGAAGGGCACCACAAGGAGUGGAGCCUGCGGCUUAAUUUGACUCAACACGGGGCAACUUACCCGGUCCGGACAUCGUCAGGAUUGACAGACGCUCGUGCAGUUCUUUCUCGAUUCGAUGGGUGGUGGUGCAUGGCCGUUCGUGGCUGGUGAAGUGAAAAGUCUGGUUUAUUCCGCUAACGGGCGAGGCCUCGCCCUUAACUAGUCGGCUCGUGGUUCUCGAAUCUUAGUCUCCCCUCGGGGAGCAGGGAGAACAUCGGGCGAGUCGAAGCGGUCGUCGCUACUUCUUAGGGGGAUCCCGAGCAAGCUUAAGCUAGGUGAGAGAGAUCAAUAACAGGUCAGUGAUGCCCUUAGAUGUCCGGGGCCGCACGCGCGCUACACUGAAGACGAAAGCGCGAGUGCCUACGGUCUUGGUUUGGUCAGGCCGGGAACCCGCCCCGAGAGGGGAGGUUGGGGCCGUUCCUUCGGGGGCGGUCUCGCCUACAACGGGUUAACCGUGCCAAUCGUCUUCGUGCUGGGGAUCGGGGCUUGUAACUCAGCCCCGUGAACGAGGAAUUCCGAGUAGGCGUCCGUCAUCAGCUGGCGCCGAUUAAGUCCCUGCCUUUUGUACACACCGCCCGUCGCUACCUCCGAUAGAAUGGCUAAGCGAGGCCGUUGGACUGGGCCCGUCUUCGGACGGGACCGGAAAGGCGUUCGAGCUUAAUCAUUUAGAGGAAGUAAAAGUCGUAACAAGGUUUCCGUAGGUGAACCUGCGGAAGGAUCAUUAA
rnacentral:rRNA from 1 species